CAAGUCGAACGGGAAUCUUCGGAUUCUAGUGGCGGACGGGUGAGUAACGCGUAAGAAUCUAACUUCAGGACGGGGACAACAGUUGGAAACGACUGCUAAUACCCGAUAUGCCGCGAGGUGAAACCUAAUUGGCCUGAAGAAGAGCUUGCGUCUGAUUAGCUAGUUGGUGGGGUAAGAGCCUACCAAGGCGACGAUCAGUAGCUGGUCUGAGAGGAUGAGCAGCCACACUGGGAUUGAGACACGGCCCAGACUCCUACGGGAGGCAGCAGUGGGGAAUUUUCCGCAAUGGGCGAAAGCCUGACGGAGCAACGCCGCGUGAGGGAGGAAGGUCUUUGGAUUGUAAACCUCUUUUCUCAAGGAAGAAGUUCUGACGGUACUUGAGGAAUCAGCCUCGGCUAACUCCGUGCCAGCAGCCGCGGUAAUACGGGGGAGGCAAGCGUUAUCCGGAAUUAUUGGGCGUAAAGCGUCCGCAGGUGGUCAGCCAAGUCUGCUGUCAAAUCAGGUUGCUUAACGACCUAAAGGCGGUGGAAACUGGCAGACUAGAGAGCAGUAGGGGUAGCAGGAAUUCCCAGUGUAGCGGUGAAAUGCGUAGAGAUUGGGAAGAACAUCGGUGGCGAAAGCGUGCUACUGGGCUGUAUCUGACACUCAGGGACGAAAGCUAGGGGAGCGAAAGGGAUUAGAUACCCCUGUAGUCCUAGCCGUAAACGAUGGAUACUAGGCGUGGCUUGUAUCGACCCGAGCCGUGCCGAAGCUAACGCGUUAAGUAUCCCGCCUGGGGGAGUACGCACGCAAGUGUGAAACUCAAAGGAAUUGACGG
rnacentral:rRNA from 1 species